rnacentral:tRNA from 1 species
CAUUAAGAAGCUUGCAUAGCAACAGCCCUUUAAGCUGUAGAAGGAAACCUCCCUUAAUGU